rfam:Triticum aestivum genome assembly, contig: Triticum_aestivum_CS42_TGACv1_scaffold_112119_2AS
AUAUUACUCCCUCCGUUCGAAAAUAUUUGCCAUCAAAAUGAAUAAAAAAAAGAUAUAUCUAGAACUAAAAUACACCUAGACAUAUCCCUUUUUUUUUGAUGAGAAGUAUUUUCGGACGGAGGGAGUAGUAA